rnacentral:rRNA from 1 species
GAUGAACGCUGGCGGCGUGCCUAACACAUGCAAGUCGAGCGAUUUACUUCGGUAAAGAGCGGCGGACGGGUGAGUAACGCGUGGGUAACCUGCCCUGUACACACGGAUAACAUACCGAAAGGUAUGCUAAUACGGGAUAAUAUGCUUUUAUCGCAUGGUAGAAGUAUCAAAGCUCCGGCGGUACAGGAUGGACCCGCGUCUGAUUAGCUAGUUGGUAAGGUAACAGCUUACCAAGGCGACGAUCAGUAGCCGACCUGAGGGGGUGAUCGGCCACAUUGGAACUGAGACACGGUCCAAACUCCUACGGGAGGCAGCAGUGGGGAAUAUUGCACAAUGGGCGAAAGCCUGAUGCAGCAACGCCGCGUGAGCGAUGAAGGCCUUCGGGUCGUAAAGCUCUGUCCUCAAGGAAGAUAAUGACGGUACUUGAGGAGGAAGCCCCGGCUAACUACGUGCCAGCCGCCGCAGUAA